ensembl:lncRNA
CCCCCGUUUGACUCCUGGUCCUCAGAGCGCCCUGCCAACAGAGCCACCGGAUGAGACAGAGGGUCUCUGCACCCACCGCCUACACACUACCUAAAAUGUUACAACAACUAUCCCUCCAUGUUCGCUCUGUCACACACACAGACAGAGACAGGUAGACACACACAGAGACAGACACAGGUAGACACACACAGAGACAGGUAGACACACACAGACACAGGUAGACACACACAGACACAGGUAGACACACACAGACACACACAGACACAGGUAGACACACACAGACACAGGUAGACACACACAGACACAGGUAGACACACACAGACACAGGUAGACACACACAGACACAGGUAGACACAGACAGAGACAGACAGGUAGACACACACACACAGACAGACAGGUAGACACACAGACAGACACACACAGACAGACAGACACACACAGACACACACAGACAGACACACACACACA